GGCAUUCUGUUAUUGGGAUUGUCAUGGGUGAAGAGCUAAAUGCACUAUUCAGGACGACCAACCUAAAAUAAGAGAAGAGAUAGGAUUGUAUAUACCAGUCCUUUCCAUCAUGGGCUCCUGUGGAAAAUGACCCCAGCUCAGCUCAGUAGUUGAUGGGACAUCUGAUUCAGGUUGGACCCAGCCCAGACAUCUGAUUCAAACAAUAUUCUUCUCCAGGAAUUUUGUAACCAGCACUGGUAAAGGGAGGGAAGUGCUCCCCAGUGGGGAAAGCUGCAGAAUGUGAGACUUGGAAACCAAAGGCCACCAUGUUUUCUGUCUCAUGAUGGAAUCCAAUCUUCUUUGGCGGGGAAAAUAAAUGAAGCCAACACCAGACAACAUAUAUCAAGCAGGGGCCAUUGUUCCAGCCUGACUCCAGGAAUCAGCAGACAGCGCAGCCUCAUUCUCCACCUGCUCCCUGCAGUACAGCCUCAGAACCACACAGUUGCAGCCAACCAGCUCCUGACAUGGAACUUGAGCAACAAAUGCCCUUUGUUUUUGCAAGUCCCUGAGAUUUGGAAGUUGUUACACAGCAUUCUCUCAGCCAGAAGUGACUGACAUGGUAUCAUUGCAGUCUUGAUCAAUUUGCCCUAUGCAAAGUGUUUUUAUAUGCCGUGAAUUUCUGAAGAUAGAACUACUGUUAUUCCCCAUGAAGCAGUUGAGGAAACUGAGUCAUAGAAUGUACAAACAACUUCCCCAAGGCUACUGAAAGUGAUGGGAAUCAAACAUAUCUUUGCCUAACUCCAGAUCCCAUGCUUUUGAAGAUAUUUAUACUGCCUAAAGCUGUAACGGACUUUUCUAACAGUCAUACAUGGCAUAUUUAGUUGCUCUCCAUGGGGAAAUAAUGACCUGACAUGGAAAAUAUUGGUGUACUUUAUUAUGAGAUUCUAAUAAGCAACCAUUAUACAUGUAUGUAAUAUAUACAUGCAACCUCUUAAGCUUAUGCUAUUCUGUAUGGAUGUUACUAGCUUUAAGAAAUUCUAAAGAGUAGGGAUAUUAAAAAUACUGAGCCAAUAAAGUAGGAUAAUUUUU